GACGCCACAAACUCUACCUUGGACAGGCGGCGCAUGAUCCGCGACAUUGUUGUUCACAAGAUGGGUUUCAAACUGUUCUUCGUCGAGUCGAUUUGUGAUGAUCCAACUAUAAUUGAGCAGAACAUUAUGGAAGUGAAAGUGAGCAGCCCCGACUACACAAACAUCAAAAACACUGACAACGUACUAAAUGACUUCCUCCUACGGAUAGAGCAUUACAAGG
rnacentral:lncRNA from 1 species